UGACCCCAUUGCAGAGGUGGCAGCCUGCAUUCAGGGGACAGGAAAGGACCUGAUAGGCUUUUGAGACCCGUUUCCCCAUUAUAUACUAGGAACAGACUUGGACAGUCACAGCCUGUGCCCUGUCUCCAGCACAGCACCCAGUCUGGAUCCUGAACGAUCCUUGGUCUCCAAUAUGGUUUCUCGUUGCUUCGAGACAGACUUUGAGGAUAUAGCCCAGGAACACCUAAAACCUCCGUCCUCCUGCCUGGCUUCCUGAGUGGAGAGUGAGAACACAGGAAGCCGUCCACAGACUUUCCUCGUGUACGGGUUCAUCCACCCUGCUGCUGAGGCACUCCCUCACUGGUGUCAGAACCCUGUUCUUCAGGAUUCCAGUGCAGACCGAAGACCAGCAUCCCCUAGGAAUCCUACAGGACUCCAGCACUGGAUCUGAACUGCUGGGAUAUCCAGCUUCAAGGACUGAGCAACUAAAGACAACUGCUGAGAACUACCCAGAGCACAGACUAUAAGCCACUCUACUGAGGGGCCACUCACGUCUGUAUCUAUCUGCAUGUGUGUG
rnacentral:lncRNA from 1 species